GACGGAGGGCGCUAGCGUUGUUCGGAAUCACUGGGCGUAAAGGGCGCGUAGGCGGCCAUGUAAGUCGGGGGUGAAAGCCCGGGGCUCAACCCCGGAACGGCCUUCGAGACUGCUUGGCUGGAGACCGGAAGAGGAGAGUGGAAUACCCAGUGUAGAGGUGAAAUUCGUAGAUAUUGGGUGGAACACCAGUGGCGAAAGCGGCUCUCUGGUCCGGAUCUGACGCUGAGGCGCGAAAGCGUGGGGAGCAAACAGG
rnacentral:rRNA from 1 species